UACUCCUGACUUUCCAUCUUAUUAUCAUUUUCACAUUUUGCAUCUGACUUCUUCUCGGCUGAAUCAAUCGAUUACUCCUUUUCCAACUUUCAUGACUAUGGCUAUCCAUAUUUCAUCUAACUUUAAGCUCUUUAAUUUUUUCUCAAUUUCAUUUAUUAUCAUCAUUAUCCCCGUUUUCCAAUUAAAAACCCACUAAUCCAUUUUACUCUGGCUGCCGUUGUCCUCUUCCAAUUUUUCUCUGAGAAAUUUAGAAGAUCUUCUGGAAAUUGGAGGCUACUCACAAACGUUUAAUGUCUACUUUUGUUGUUUGACUAUUAGCAGAUUAAUUAUUUUGACCUUAGUUAAUUUUGCAUACUGAUUUUUAUGCAUACUAAUUUAAUAUGUAGAAUUUUGCAAUUUGGCAUUUUGGCAAAAUUUCAAUGGUUAUCUGAAUUCUGAAAGCACAUAUUUCGUAAUUUAUUAGGUCUUAUUGUUCCUUACUCCAUUUAUAAAAGAUGUUGCCUAAAAAUACUUAUCUGGCUGUGAAAAAAGAAAAAGCAAAAAAAGAGAAAAGGAACUAAAAAAACACAACAAGGAGCUUUUGAUAAAUUUA